rnacentral:rRNA from 1 species
GAUUUAUACCUAUUCGAAGGGAUAGGGUCGGUUCGGCCGGAUUUUACACAGGUGUUGCAUGGCUGUCGUCAGCUGUGUCGUGAGAUGUUGGGUUAAGUCCCGCAACGAGCGCAACCCUCAUCCUUAGUUGCCAUCAGGUAAUGCUGAGCCUUUAAGGAAACUGCCAGUGAUAAGCUGGAGGAAGAUGGGGAUGAUGUCAAGUCAUNAUGGCCUUUAUGAAGUGGCUACACACGUGCUACAAUGGUGUCUACAGUGGGCUGCAAGGUGCGCAAGCCUAAGCUAAUCCCUAAAAGACAUCUAGUUCGGAUUGUACUCUGCAACUCGAGUGCAUGAAGUUGGAAUCGCUAGUAAUCGUGGAUCAGCAUGCCACGGUGAUACGUUCUCGGGUCUUGUACACACUGCCCGUC